UAUGUCUCUCCUUCAGAGUCUCUCACUAUCUCUUUCUUGGUACCCCUAUGCCAAUUCAACAAAAAUAAGCUACCCUAGAGUCUUCGAUGACAAGACAGCUGGAAGGCUCAAUCUUUAACCUCCUAGCAGCUUCAAAGAAUCUGAUGCCAUAAAUCACAGUUUUUCAGAAGAAAAUUAUCUUACUUGUAUAGUAAACAAGUAACCCUCAAUAAUCAAGGCUAAACAAAACGUAUUUUGCAUCUCACAUGUCAGG
rnacentral:lncRNA from 1 species